CAGAGUAGGAUAUGCGGCGUAAAGUAUCGGCGGAACGGGGAGUUGUUCGCCGGGCGAAUGCCUUUUCCGGGAUCGUUCCGGAGGCAGCGGUCGCGUAUCCGCAUCCCGCUGC
rnacentral:ncRNA from 1 species